rnacentral:rRNA from 1 species
AGAAUGGACGCUGGCGGCGUGCUUUACACAUGCAAGUUGAGCGAGGCCACCCGCAAGGGUGAGUCGAGCGGCGAACGGGUGAGUAACGCGUGGAUAACCUGCCCUUUAGUGGGGAAUAACCCGGGGAAACUCAGGCUAAUACCGCAUAAGACCGAGAGGUGAAAGCGGGGUCGCAAGAUCUCGUGCUAAUGGAGGGGUCCGCGUUCGAUUAGCUAGUUGGA